rnacentral:rRNA from 1 species
GAUGAACGCUAGCGGCAGGCUUAAUACAUGCAAGUCGAGGGACAGCACAGGUAGCAAUACUGGGUGGUAACCGGCAAACGGGUGCGGAACACGUACACAACCUUCCUUUAAGUGGGGGGAUAGCCCAGAGAAAUUUGGAUUAAUACCCCGUAAUAUAGUUGAAUGGCAUCAUUUGAUUAUUAUAGCUACGGCGCUUAAUGUUGGUGGUGCGGCUGAUUAGAUAGUUGGCGGGGUAACGGCCAACCAAGUUUACGAUCAGUAGCUGAUGUGAGAGCAUGAUCAGCCACACGGGCACUGAGACACGGGCCCGACUCCUACGGGAGGCAGCAGUAAGGAAUAUUGGUCAAUGGACGCAAGUCUGAACCAGCCAUGCCGCGUGAAGGAUUAAGGUCCUCUGGAUUGUAAACUUCUUUUAUUUGGGACGAAAAAGGGCCUUUCUAGGUCAACUGACGGUACCAGAUGAAUAAGCACCGGCUAACUCCGUGCCAGCAGCCGCCGUAAAAC